UACGGGGGGGGGCAAGCGUUGUUCGGAAUUACUGGGCGUAAAGGGCGCGUAGGCGGCUCGCUAAGUCGGAUGUGAAAACUCUGGGCUCAACCCCAGAGCCUGCAUUCGAAACUGACGAGCUGGAGUUCUGGAGGGGAAAGCGGAAUUCCUGGUGUAGCGGUGAAAUGCGUAGAUAUCAGGAGGAACACCGGUGGCGAAGGCGGCUUUCUGGGACAGAAACUGACGCUGAUGCGCGAAAGCUAGGGGAGCAAACAGG
rnacentral:rRNA from 1 species